rnacentral:rRNA from 1 species
GACAGAGGAUGCAAGCGUUAUCCGGAAUGAUUGGGCGUAAAGCGUCUGUAGGUGGCUUUUUAAGUCCGCCGUCAAAUCCCAGGGCUUCAGCCCUGGACAGGCGGUGGAAACUACCAAGCUGGAGUACGGUAGGGGCAGAGGGAAUUUCCGGUGGAGCGGGUGAAAUGCGUAGAGAUCGGAAAGAACACCAACGGCGAAAGCAACUCUGCUGGGCCGACACUGACACUGAGAGACGAAAGCUAGGGGAGCGAAUGGG